rnacentral:rRNA from 1 species
AUGCAAGUCGAACGAAAUAUUUAGCACUUGUGUUAAAUAAUUUAGUGGCGAACGGGUGAGUAACACGUAAGAACUUACCCCUAGACGAGGUACAACAGUUGGAAACGACUGCUAAUACCUCAUAUUACCGGAAGGUGAAAGAAGCAAUUCGUCUAGGGCGAGGCUUGCGUCUGAUUAGCUUGUUGGUGAGGUAAAGGCUUACCAAGGCGACGAUCAGUAGUUGGUCUUAGAGGAUGAUCAGCCACAUUGGGACUGAGACACGGCCCAAACUUUUACGGGAGGCAGCAGUAAGGAAUUUUCCGCAAUGGGCGCAAGCCUGACGGAGCAAUACCGCGUGAAGGAUGACGGCCCAUGGGUUGUAAACUUCUUUUCUUGGAGAAGAAUUCUGACGGUAUCCAAGGAAUAAGCAUCGGCUAACUCCGUGCCAGCAGCCGCGGUAAGACGGGGGAUGCAAGCGUUAUUCGGAAUUAUUGGGCGUAAAGCGCCUGUAGGUGGUAAGGAAAGUGUAAUGUUAAAGAUCAGGGCUCAACCCUGGGAAAGCAUUGCAAACUAUCUUACUUGAGUUCGGUAGGGGCAGAGAGAAUUCCCAGUGUAGCGGUGAAAUGCGUAGAUAUUGGGAGGAAGACCGGUGGCGAAGGCGUUCUGCUGGGCCGUAACUGACACUCAGAGACGAAAGCUAAGGUAGCAAAUAGGAUUAGAUACCCUAGUAGUCUUAGCUGUAAACGAUGCACACUAUGUUUUGCAAUUUGCAGAGCAAUAGCUAACGCGUUAAGUGUGCCGCCUGGGGAGUACAUUCGCAAGGAUGAAACUCAAAGGAAUUGACGGGGACCCGCACAAGCGGUGGAGCAUGUGGUUUAAUUCGAUGCAACGCGAAGAACCUUACCAGGGCUUGACAUACUGUGAAUCACUAUGAAAAUAGCCGAGCCGAAAGGCACAGAUACAGGUGGUGCAUGGCUGUCGUCAGCUCGUGUCGUGAGAUGUUGGGUAAGUCCCGCACGAGCGCAACCCUUAUCCUCAGUACUCUUAGGACUGAGAGACUGCCGGUGAUAACCGAGAGUGAGAUGACGUCAGUCAUCAUGCCCCUUAUGCCCUGGGCUACUCACGUGCUACAAUGCUACGGACAAGGGCAGCGAGUUUCGAGGGACAGCCAAUCCAUAAACGGUGGCUCAGUUCUUAUUGUAGGGGUGUGAAAUGGC